AGUGAUUUUGUCCGGACUAAUUUAUUUUUAACCAAAGAUGAAUUCCCAUGUUAACUAGCAUGAUGUGUUGAAUAACUUAAUUGGCCCCUUGACCACAACUGGUGUCUAACUAUUAUUUAAAUUAAGUUUACGAGCACAAACUGGAACACUAUUUCUACUCUAUUAUACUUUACUCAUGCUUGGACCAAGAUCUCAUGAGGAAGCGGGAGAAGGGACACCAACAAUUGGUGCAGGUUCGUGUUGCUCCAACAGAUUUUGCACUGCAUGCCGUAAAAAAAUAUGUAUCUUUAUCCCAUUGGAUAUGUUCAACAUUGGAAGCAAUCAGAGAAAAUGUUAAUACUUAUGCAACAAUUUCUGCCAUACACUAAGACGCCCAUAUUAGGCUCAUAUAGUUUAAGUCUGUACCUGAACCACUCAAAGAAAUGAUGACACAACUAAUACUAAUAGGUCAAUGAUCACCUUGAGAUAAUUUAUGAAUGUAUUUCCAUCUACUAUGUAUGCCAGUAAUUUGUUAUGUAUAACAAAGAUUGCAUGGAAUUGAACUGUUGGUGACGGUGAGGUCGUCUUACUGGAAGUGACGGUCGGGUUGUCUAACUGGAAGUGAAACUGUUGGUGUUGUUCUGCAUUCUGAUAAUGUUGAUUGGCAGGGUGAGGGAUCAGAAGAGGGAUGGCGGGGGCGUUUGAGUUGUAUUGGCAGUUUGCCAUUGGCAAGGCCCUCAUGUAGACGCUGGACGAGAUGGCGCUUAGCCCCGAGCUCGCUGUCAGUCUCCAAGUACAGUUCGACGAGGUCUGUUCAUUAUUUUCAUCUUGGUCUUCUUGUUUCUUUCAGUCCAUGAGCGCUGGACCACUAGCUCAAGAGCAAGGCCUUCUUCAAGGUACCAAACAGAUCAGCUACAGAUCUUUCAUAUCUUCUGUUGGAUGCCAUGAUGACUUCUGUGCUUAAUUAUGAAAUUCAAUCAAAAGAUAUAUGGAUGAUUCUAUGGUUUGUGGCAAGUAUACUGCAAUGAUGAUGAUGAUGUUCCCGUUGAUGAUGAUGAUGAUGAUGUUCCCGUUGAUGAUGAUGGAUGCCUUCAGUUUUAGUUAAAGUUAGUUUUAGUUAAAGUUGUAGUGAUGUUGUUCCUGUUGGAUGAUGUUCCUCGGUUAAGUUUUAGUUAGUUCUAGUUGAUGGAUUAUUGUCUGUUUAAGUUUCACUCUCAAGAAAAUAUUUAGAUUAUGGAUCACAUUGGGAUGAUGUUCCUCCUGUAAUAUCCACUAUUGUAAUCGAACAGUUUUAUUCAAUAUAUGAUAUCUUCC